CAUGCAUGUGGCAUGUCCGGUUCCGGGGUUUGCCCCCCGGAGGAAAGAGGGAAUACAGUGCGGCGCGUUUCGCGUCCAAAUCUGUAGCUGCCCCCGCAACUGUAAGCGGCGAGCGAGGCUGAUCACGCCACUGGAGCGAUCCGGGAAGGCCAGCCAGAGCAUAGACCCGCGAGCCAGGAGACCUGCCGGACAGGCGCCCUUGGA
rnacentral:ncRNA from 2 species